rnacentral:rRNA from 1 species
UUGACUAAAGUUUGAUCCUGGCUCACAACGAACGCUGGCGGCAGGCCUAACACAUGCAACUCCAACGGUUCCUUCGGGGACAGUGGCAGACGGGUGAGUAACGCGUGGGAAUCUACCUUGUGGUACGGAACAACCAAGGGAAACUUGUGCUAAUACCGUAUGUGCCCUUCGGGGGAAAGAUUUAUCGGUAAAGGAUCGGCCCGCGUUGGAUUAGCUAGUUGGUGGGGUAAAGGCCUACCAAGGCGACGAUCCAUAGCUGGUCUGAGAGGAUGAUCAGCCACAUUGGGACUGAGACACGGCCCAAACUCCUACGGGAGGCAGCAGUGGGGAAUAUUGGACAAUGGGCGCAAGCCUGAUCCAGCCAUGCCGCGUGAGUGAUGAAGGCCCUAGGGUUGUAAAGCUCUUUCCCCGGUGAAAAUAAUGACGGUAACCGGAGAAGAAGCCCCGGCUAACUUCGUGCCAGCAGCCGGGGUAAUACGAAGGGGGGCUAGCGUUUUCGGAAUUACUGGGGCGUAAAGCGCACGGAAGGCGGGUUUUAGAGGCCGGGGUGAAAUCCCCGAACUCCACUCUGGGAGCGGCUUUUGGGACUGGGGCACCAGAGCUUGGGAGGAGGAAGUGGGCUUUCCCGCUGGUGCAGGGGGAUUUCGUAAUAAUCGUGAGGGAACGCGGGGGGGAGGGGGUCGUUGAUGUGCCCUUUCCGGACGGUGAGGGGCCGCAAGGGUGGGGGGGCAGACGAGGAUGGACGCCCUUGGUCGGCNCGCCGGAGGGGGAGAGCGGGUAGCCCCGCGAGAGACAACCGUCAGGUGGCAGCGAUCACGCCGUUAGAGUUCCCCUAGGGGGGAAAUGGG